rnacentral:rRNA from 1 species
UACGUAGGGUGCAAGCGUUAAUCGGAAUUACUGGGCGUAAAGCGUGCGCAGGCGGUUGUGCAAGACAGAUGUGAAAUCCCCGAGCUUAACUUGGGAACUGCAUUUGUGACUGUAUGGCUAGAGUAUGGUAGAGGGGGAUGGAAUUCCGCAUGUAGCAGUGAAAUGCGUAGAUAUGUGGAGGAACACCGAUGGCGAAGGCAAUCCCCUGGACCUGUACUGACGCUCAUGCACGAAAGCGUGGGGAGCAAACAGG